rnacentral:rRNA from 1 species
UACGUAGGUGACAAGCGUUGUCCGGAUUUACUGGGCGUAAAGAGCGCGCAGGCGGUCGAUCAAGUCGAGUGUGAAAGCCCCCCGGCUCAACUGGGGAGGGUCACGCGAUACUGAUCGACUCGAAGGCAGGAGAGGGUAGUGGAAUUCCCGGUGUAGUGGUGAAAUGCGUAGAUAUCGGGAGGAACACCAGUGGCGAAGGCGACUACCUGGCCUGUUUCUUGACGCUGAGGCGCGAAAGCUAGGGGAGCAACAGG